GCCUCGGUGGUGCAAUCGGUUAGCGCGCGAAGCCCACAGGAAAAGGGUGGGAUGCGGGUUCAAUUCCCGCCUGACGCU